rnacentral:rRNA from 1 species
UGGGGAAUUUUGGACAAUGGGCGAAAGCCUGAUCCAGCAAUGCCGCGUGUGUGAAGAAGGCCUUCGGGUUGUAAAGCACUUUUGUCCGGAAAGAAAUCCUUGGCUCUAAUACAGUCGGGGGAUGACGGUACCGGAAGAAUAAGCACCGGCUAACUACGUGCCAGCAGCCGCGGUAAUACGUAGGGUGCAAGCGUUAAUCGGAAUUACUGGGCGUAAAGCGUGCGCAGGCGGUUUGCUAAGACCGAUGUGAAAUCCCCGGGCUCAACCUGGGAACUGCAUUGGUGACUGGCAGGCUAGAGUAUGGCAGAGGGGGGUAGAAUUCCACGUGUGAGCAGUGAAAUGCGUAGAGAUGUGGAGGAAUACCGAUGGCGAAGGCAGCCCCCU